UCCAAACUAUUGGAUUAAGGCUCGUCUUAUGAAAUUGGAUUAUUAAUCUUAAUUAAUCCACUCAUCUUAGCGUGUGCUAACUCCCUUACUAAUUAAUAACCUCGUUCUAAAUUAAUCCAUAAUUAGAAACAACUAAAUUCAAUUAAUAGAUUAAUCUAGGCUGUUCUUUAAUCGGCUAAAUAUAAUAAUAAGGCAGCUAAAUUAUUAAAUGAGAGCAACAUAGGGCAGCCGAAUAGAAUAAAAUAGGCUCACUCUAACUCUGGCCCAGCUGAAAUAUAUAGCUCUCAAAUAGGUCAGCCCAUCUCCAUUAAAUCCUGAUCCAUGAACGCAGCCCAACUAGAAUAUGUGCAGAGGCCCAACUUCAUCUCUUAUUCUUUUAAGUAAAACUUGGCCCAAGUAUAGCAGCCCAUUUGGAAUUAGUGCACGCAAAUUUCCUUGAACUCGCGCAGCCUUCAUUCUCCACACUCUUUCUUUCAAUUCCUCUCUCCCCCUUUGAGAAAGCCGCCGCAUCUGGAAGACCGGCGAGGUCGCCGUCACGCCGGUCACCGGCGCUGGUUCCCCGCCACAUCUGCUCUUCUUUCUCUCUUUUCUCUCAAUUCCAAUUCCUUUCUCAUAUCGUGCCCUGGUUUCCCCUUUCGAAAUGAGCCCUAACGCUCUCAUCAAAAUCAUCACUGCUGCUUUCGAUUUCCGGCGAGCAGUGGCCGGCUCGUGUCGUCUGCUCUCUUCUCAGAAGGAUCGUCGCUCACUCUACCUCUUACUCUCUCACCGAAACGCACAGGCGAGUUUCCCCCUUUCGGAAUGAGCCCUAGCUCUCUGCUGAUUCAGGCGGAACCGUUGCUGCCUCUCUUAGAGUCCGUCAGCCGUGCUACCGGCUCCGGCUCCCUGAGUUGCCACCGUCACGGGGUUCCAACGGAUUCUCCCUGAUUCCCGAUGAGUAAUAGGCCCAUGUGGGCUGUCGUUACCAAGCGCCGCUGCACGCCUUCGGAAGUCGAUGUCGGCUCUCAAGUCUCCAUGAAUCGUCGCCUGCUCCUCUGUUGUGUACGCCUCUCUGGAAGCCUCACUGUCGCCGACGGCCACUCCGCCUCGUCAAAACAGGGCAGCCACCGUUCCGACAUUCUCUCCAACUCAGCGUGGAUUUGAUGCGUGUGAAGCAUGUAACGUGGGAGAGAACAUACUGAUAUACAUAUUUUGUUUAGCAAUUUCAGGCUGAACUCAAGAAAGAAAUGGUGAAGGAGUUAGCCACAAUGGUGAAGGAGUUAGCCACUCUUACCUCUCUAAGUCUGCCGGAAGCUGAAUCCAAAUCCUCUCUUAGUGAAGAUGCAUUAAGAAAGAAAAAAAUACGAAUUUUCUAGCUGGAGAUAUAAUGGAAAAGGGUUGUUGGCUACACUUGAGUAUUUUGAAGGGAUGGGCAACGUAGGGUGGCUGAUUGACCCCCUACAUGUACCAAGAGCAUGGCUUGGCUGAAAGUUGGCAGCAGAAGGAGCAUGGCUUGAUCUGAAUUCGUGGCUUUUGCACAGGAAAAAGGAGGGAGGGGCUGCUGUUGUAUGCACGUUACAUUGUUUUCUUUUGACAAGCUUGAUGUAGCUAAUAGAGUAGGUGAAUGUGAUGUACCAAGUAAUGUGAUAAAUUACCACAAUUAAAUCCUUCAGUCUACAUAA